GACGAACGCUGGCGGCGUGCUUAACACAUGCAAGUCGAACGGAAAGGCCCUGCUUUCUGGGGGGGCGCGAGGCGCAAGGGGGAGUAAAGCAUGGGAGUAAUCCGCUCUGGGCUGGGGGAUAUCCGGAAAAAAGUGGGGAUAACACCGGAUAGCAGCGCCAGCGGAUGGGCGGGCUUCGGAAGGUUUCGGCGGUUGGGGAUGGACUCGCGGCUUAUCAGUUUGUGGGGGGGGUAGUGGCCAACCAGGCCAUGGACGGGUGGCGGGCAUGAGAGGGUGACCGGCCACAUGGGGACUGAGAUACGGCCCAGACUGCUACGGGAGGCAGCAGUGGGGAAUAUUGCACAGUGGGCGGGAGCGUGAUGCAGACGCGCCGCGUGCGGGAUGACGGCCUUGGUGGUGUAAACCGCUUUAGCCUGAGACGGAGCGUGAGUGACGGUAAUGGGUAAAGAAGCACCGGCUAACUUCGUG
rnacentral:rRNA from 1 species